GACGAACGCUGGCGGCGUGCUUAACACAUGCAAGUCGAACGGAAAGGCCCUGCUUUUGUGGGGUGCUCGAGUGGCGAACGGGUGAGUAACACGUGAGUAACCUGCCCUUGACUUUGGGAUAACUUCAGGAAACUGGGGCUAAUACCGGAUAGGAGCUCCUGCUGCAUGGUGGGGGUUGGAAAGUUUCGGCGGUUGGGGAUGGACUCGCGGCUUAUCAGCUUGUUGGUGGGGUAGUGGCUUACCAAGGCUUUGACGGGUAGCCGGCCUGAGAGGGUGACCGGCCACAUUGGGAAUGAGAUACGGCCCAGACUCCAACGGGAGGCAGCAGUGGGGAAUAUUGCACAAUGGGCGGAAGCCUGAUGCAGCAACGCCGCGUGCGGGAUGACGGCCUUCGGGUUGUAAACCGCUUUCGCCUGUGACGAAGCGUGAGUGACGGUAAUGGGUAAAGAAGCACCGGCUAACUACGUG
rnacentral:rRNA from 1 species